GAAGCCUUGUGGGGCCAACUAUGAUGCUGAUAAUGGAACUCUCUUGAAAGGGUCUAUAUGCAUUCCCAUGUAAAGACUGAGUAAAUCCCAGACAUAGCCAGCUUUGAUCUGUAUUUAAGUAAGUGAUCUGUUUGAAGCAGUAUUUACAUGUAAGGCCUGUGGAGCUAUUCAUUACCUGUGAGACCUGCCUCUAUGAGUUGAGGAAACAUUAACUUACUCUCUGCAUCUUCAACGAGCGAAGGAAGGAAAUGAGGUGUGUGCUUGGUGUCCUGAGCUGAGCUGAACUGUUCAAACCAUCAGCACAUCAUAAGGGACUGUAUACAGUCACAACUGACCAGGGGUGUAGUGGUAAGAUAAGAGCCCCUCAAUGUCCUCAAAGAUGUGACCAUUGACUGGCUCUCUCAAGUAAUGGGCAUGGGAUAAUAGAUCUUUCCGUGGAAAUAGGAUGUUUGAAGAAAUGUGAAACAUGAAGGCAAGACGACUACAUUAUUCCCAUCAAGAUAUGACUGAAAUACUGUAAUUUCUGUUAACAAUAUAUCAUGUGAAAUACACACAACAUUUCUAUGUCACAUUUUUUAAAAAGAUUUAAGACAUUUUUACAUCAUUUAUUUCCAUUUGUGUAUUGCCACUAAUUUAUUGUCCUACUUUUCUGGUGAAGUACACAGUGUUAUUGAACUAUGUGUGUUUGUUUGUGUGUGUGUGUGUGUGUGUGUGUGUGUGUGUGUGUGUGUGUGUAUGCACGGCAAAUACACCUGCUUUCUGUCUAUUUUGUGUAAACCUUUGACUUGCCAAGCACUCCAUGCAGAGCAAGACCAAUACUUUUGUUUUACAAAGUGGCAUUUCCUUGGUGUUUUGUUAAACUGUGACU